rnacentral:rRNA from 1 species
UGCAAGUCGAACGAACUUCCGUUAAUUGAUUAUGACGUACUUGUACUGAUUGAGAUUUUAACACGAAGUGAGUGGCGAACGGGUGAGUAACACGUGGGUAACCUGCCCAGAAGUAGGGGAUAACACCUGGAAACAGAUGCUAAUACCGUAUAACAGAGAAAACCGCAUGGUUUUCUUUUAAAAGAUGGCUCUGCUAUCACUUCUGGAUGGACCCGCGGCGUAUUAGCUAGUUGGUGAGGUAAAGGCUCACCAAGGCAGUGAUACGUAGCCGACCUGAGAGGGUAAUCGGCCACAUUGGGACUGAGACACGGCCCAGACUCCUACGGGAGGCAGCAGUAGGGAAUCUUCCACAAUGGACGCAAGUCUGAUGGAGCAACGCCGCGUGAGUGAAGAAGGGUUUCGGCUCGUAAAGCUCUGUUGUUAAAGAAGAACGUGGGUAAGAGUAACUGUUUACCCAGUGACGGUAUUUAACCAGAAAGCCACGGCUAACUACGUGCCAGCAGCCGCGGUAAUACGUAGGUGGCAAGCGUUAUCCGGAUUUAUUGGGCGUAAAGCGAGCGCAGGCGGUCUUUUAAGUCUAAUGUGAAAGCCUUCGGCUCAACCGAAGAAGUGCAUUGGAAACUGGGAGACUUGAGUGCAGAAGAGGACAGUGGAACUCCAUGUGUAGCGGUGAAAUGCGUAGAUAUAUGGAAGAACACCAGUGGCGAAGGCGGCUGUCUGGUCUGCAACUGACGCUGA